CAGCCGCCGCGGGAAUACGGAGGGGGCUAGCGUUGUUCGGAAUUACUGGGCGUAAAGCGCACGUAGGCGGCUUUGUAAGUCAGAGGUGAAAGCCCGGGGCUCAACCCCGGAAUUGCCUUUGAGACUGCAUCGCUUGAAUCCAGGAGAGGUGAGUGGAAUUCCGAGUGUAGAGGUGAAAUUCGUAGAUAUUCGGAAGAACACCAGUGGCGAAGGCGGCUCACUGGACUGGUAUUGACGCUGAGGUGCGAAAGCGUGGGGAGCAAACAGGAUUAGAUACCCCCGUAGUCCCUGUCUCUUAUAC
rnacentral:rRNA from 1 species